rnacentral:lncRNA from 1 species
GAUAUUGUCCUGAGCUUUAUGUCUCCAUGCCAGUGACCUUGACAGUUGCCUCUAAUGAGAAACAUCUACCCACACUAGAAUUCUCAGUGUGUUUGUGUAUACAUGUUAGGGUGCUGGCUGGGAAGAGUCAGCAAUAGGGGGCAUACUCCACUCACCCAGCUAGAGAAACAUCAGAGAGCCUGUAACAACACAUAAGUAAUUUGAAAUUCUUAUUUCCUCACCUCUCUAAUACUCCAGUAAUAAUUUUUGUUCUGUGGGGUAAACGAUGAAAGACUUUGGAGACCGGGUUUUAUCCAGCUCCUGGAAGGGUGCCAUUGAAUUUGUGCUGAUGUGUUUUGGAGUAAUGUCAGUAUGCAUACUAUUUUCAGUAGCUGACAAAUAGAAAGCUUUGCUUGUAUGAAGUAAUUAAGAGAAAGAUGUUAAUCUAUCGUCUAUUCUAAAGUGAAUGGAAAACCAAGUUUGCUGGGCAGUCAGAUAAGAUUAUACUUUGCUGAUAAUAAAUAAAAGAUUUCAGAACAAGUUGUUCUCAUGCUUUUAAAUGUUAUAAUUAGAGAUACUUUCU